GAAAGCAGACAGCGACAGAGAAAAUUUUUCUGUGAAAAAUUUUCUCUCAGGCUGGUUUAAGUGCUUCAAGCAGGAAUCUUUGUGCUGACAGCUUCUUAGUGGCGGACGGGUGAGUAACGCGUGAGCAAUCUGGCUAUUACAGGGGGAUAACAGUUGGAAACGACUGCUAAUACCGCAUAAGACCACGGCCUGGCAUCAGGUUGGGGUCAAAGGAGAGAUCCGGUAAUAGAUGGGCUUGCGUUUCAUCAGCUAGUUGGUGAGGGUAACGGCCCACCAAGGCGACGACGAAUAGCCGACCUGAGAGGGUGAUCGGCCACACUGGUAUUGAGAACGGACCAGACUCCUACGGGAGGCAGCAGUUAGGAAUAUUGGGCAAUGGAGGGAACUCUGACCCAGCAACGCCGCGUGAAGGAAGAAGGUUUUCGGAUUGUAAACUUCUGAUCUAAGGGACGAAGAAAGUGACGGUACCUUAGGAGAAAGCCACGGCUAACUACGUGCCAGCAGCCGCGGUAAUACGUAGGUGGCGAGCGUUGUCCGGAAUAACUGGGCGUAAAGGGAGCGUAGGUGGUGAAUUAAGUUAGGUGUGAAAGCCCAAGGCUCAACUUUGGAAUUGCACUUAAAACUGGUUUACUAGAGUACAGGAGGGGUAAACGGAAUUUCUAGUGUAGCGGUGAAAUGCGUAGAUAUUAGGAAGAACACCUGGGGCGAAGGCGGUUUACUGGACUGCAACUGACACUGAGGCUCGAAAGCGUGGGGAGCAAACAGGAUUAGAUACCCUGGUAGUCCACGCCCUAAACGAUGAUUACUAAACGUGGGAGGUAUCGACUCCUUCCGUGUUGAAGCGAACGCGAUAAGUAAUCCGCCUGAGGAGUACGGCCGCAAGGUUAAAACUCAAAGGAAUUGACGGGGACCCGCACAAGCAGCGGAGCAUGUUGUUUAAUUCGACGAUACGCGAAGAACCUUACCAAGACUUGACAUGCUAGUGCAUAGCGUAGAGAUACGUGAAAGGUUAGCAAUAAUUCCACUAGCACAGAUGGUGCAUGGUUGUCGUCAGCUCGUGUCGUGAGAUGUUGGGUUAAGUCCCGCAACGAGCGCAACCCUUGCGAGUUAGUUGCCACUAUUCAGUUAGGGCACUCUAACCGGACAGCCGUAGGUAAUACGGAGGAAGGUGGGGAUGACGUCAAAUCAUCAUGCCUCUUACGUCUUGGGCUACAAACGUGCUACAAUGGCUAUAACAAAGAGAAGCGAAUCGGAGACGAGGAGCAAAUCUGGGAAAGAUAGUCUCAGUUCAGACUGUGGGUUGAAACUCACCCACACGAAGAUGAAGUUGCUAGUAAUCCCGAAUCAGAAUGUCGGGGUGAAUGCGUUCCCGGGUCUUGUACACACCGCCUGUCACGCCAUGGGAGUUGGAGGGACCCAAAGCCGGUGAGCCAACCGAGGAAUCGGAGGCAGCCGUCUAAGGUAAAGCCAGCGACUGGGGUGAAGUCAUAACAAGGUAGCGGUAUCGGAAGGUGCCGCUG
rnacentral:rRNA from 1 species